GAACUACCGGAAGGAGCCAUAGUCUUGGAAGGAAUUCCAGUCUUCCCUCAGGCUAUGAAUAAGCAAGAGCACCCCGAGUCCUCCCAAGAUCCCCCGUCAGAGUUGUUUGAGCCCCUCACCAUGAAGAAGAUUCCAGCACCGUCCCGUGAGAUCAAAGAAGAAGCUGCAAGCACCCCGCCAGCACCAUCGCCCUCUGAGGAGCUACAAGAGCCAGUCCCACUUGAAGAAGAGCUCAACCCAGUCUUGCCACCUCAGUCACCGCCAGAAGAAGUCAUCAACAUCAGCUCCCUCUUAACCCAUCCAGGAGAUGCCUCAGAUUGAAGUUGCGCUAGCCUCGCUAGAAGAGAAGCUGCCAGGUCUGAGUUAGUUAUGCCCAGUCCUCUGCAUGCAUUGGGUAGUGAAGUUUUUCUUCACUUUGGCUAGAGCCCUGCAUGUAUGAGAGGUAAUCGUGUAGACUCGUGUUUUGCAAAACUCUAAUUGUGUGGCCCCCUAGGGCAUUUCAAAAUGAAUUUUGCUUGAUGUUUUCUCCCCUUUGGAGUGCAUAUGUGAUGCUUUAACGUUAGUGCUCAUAAGU
rnacentral:misc_RNA from 1 species